AAGUCGUAACAAGGUUUCCGUAGGUGAACCUGCGGAAGGAUCAUUAACAGGGCUGAAACCGCAAGGUGGACCUCCCUACCGUGUAUAACUACCUUUGUUGCUUUGGCGGGGCGUCUCGCGACCAGCGGCUCCGGCUGCUGCGCCCCCGCCAGAGGACCACAACUCUUGUUUUUAGUGAUGUCUGAGUACUAUAUAAUAGUUAAAACUUUCAACAACGGAUCUCUUGGUUCUGGCAUCGAUGAAGAACGCAGCGAAAUGCGAUAAGUAAUGUGAAUUGCAGAAUUCAGUGAAUCAUCGAAUCUUUGAACGCACAUUGCGCCCUUUGGUAUUCCGAAGGGCAUGCCUGUUCGAGCGUCAUUAUAACCACUCAAGCCUUCGCUUGGUCUUGGGGGCACGCGGUCCCGCGGCUCCUAAAAUCAGUGGCGGUGCCUGUCGGCUCUACGCGUAGUAAUACUCCUCGCGAUUGAGUCCGGUGGGCCACCCGCCAGCAACCCCCAAAUUUUUACAGGUUGACCUCGGAUCAGGUAGGGAUACCCGCUGAACUUAAGCAUAUCAAUAAGCGGAGGAAAAGAAACCAACAGGGAUUACCUCAGUAACGGCGAGUGAAGCGGUAACAGCUCAAAUUUGAAAGCUAGCUCUUUUAGGGUUCGCAUUGUAAUUUGCAGAAGAUGCUUCGGGUGUGGCCNCGGUCUAAGUUCCUUGGAACAGGACGUCAUAGAGGGUGAGAAUCCCGUAUGUGACUGGGUGCUUUCGCUCAUGUGAAGCUCUUUCGACGAGUCGAGUUGUUUGGGAAUGCAGCUCAAAAUGGGUGGUAAAUUUCAUCUAAAGCUAAAUAUUGGCCAGAGACCGAUAGCGCACAAGUAGAGUGAUCGAAAGAUGAAAAGCACUUUGGAAAGAGAGUUAAACAGUACGUGAAAUUGUUGAAAGGGAAGCGCUUGCAACCAGACUUGCGCGCUGAUGAUCAUCCGGGCUUCUGUCCGGUGCACUCGUCUGCGCUCAGGCCAGCAUCGGUUUCGGUGGUGGGAUAAAGGCCUUGGGAAUGUAGCUUCUUUCGGGGAGUGUUAUAGCCCUCGGUGCAAUGCCGCCUACCGGGACCGAGGACCGCGCUUCGGCUAGGAUGCUGGCGUAAUGGUUGUAAGCGACC
rnacentral:rRNA from 1 species